rnacentral:rRNA from 1 species
CGGUGUUUAACUGGCGUGAUGUGGGACGUCCUACCGGUGGGCUUAGCCUCGCGAGGGGCGGCCCAACUAAUAUCCCGUCGCGGUGCUCUUUACUGAGUGUCGAGUCGGGCCGGUACGUUUACUUUGAACAAAUUAGAGUGCUUAAAGCAGGCUAUCCUCGCCUGAAUACUGCGUGCAUGGAAUAAUGGAAUAGGACCUCGGUUCUAUUUUGUUGGUUUUCGGAACCCCGAGGUAAUGAUUAAUAGGGACAGAUGGGGGCAUUCGUAUUGCGACGUUAGAGGUGAAAUUCUUGGAUCGUCGCAAGACGGACAGAAGCGAAAGCAUUUGCCAAAAAUGUUUUCAUUAAUCAAGAACGAAAGUUAGAGGCUCGAAGGCGAUCAGAUACCGCCCUAGUUCUAACCAUAAACGAUGCCAGCUAGCGAUCCGCCGAAGUUCCUCCGAUGACUCGGCGGGCAGCUUCCGGGAAACCAAAGCUUUUGGGUUCCGGGGGAAGUAUGGUUGCAAAGCUGAAACUUAAAGGAAUUGACGGAAGGGCACCACCAGGAGUGGAGCCUGCGGCUUAAUUUGACUCAACACGGGAAACCUCACCAGGCCCAGACACCGGAAGGAUUGACAGAUUGAUAGCUCUUUCUUGAUUCGGUGGGUGGUGGUGCAUGGCCGUUCUUAGUUGGUGGAGCGAUUUGUCUGGUUAAUUCCGAUAACGAACGAGACUCUAGCCUGCUAAAUAGGCGUACCUUAUGGUAUCGCGAAGGCCCCCGGCUUCGGCCGGUGGGUUUUUACUACCAACGUACAAACAAAUCUUCUUAGAGGGACAGGCGG